rnacentral:rRNA from 1 species
AAAUUGAAGAGUUUGAUCAUGGCUCAGAUUGAACGCUGGCGGCAGGCCUAACACAUGCAAGUCGAGCGGAAACGACAUUAUUGAAUCUUCGGAGGAUUUAAUGGGCGUCGAGCGGCGGACGGGUGAGUAAUGCCUAGGAAAUUGCCUUGAUGUGGGGGAUAACCAUUGGAAACGAUGGCUAAUACCGCAUAAUGCCUACGGGCCAAAGAGGGGGAUCUUCGGACCUCU